AACGAACGCUGGCGGCAGGCCUAACACAUGCAAGUCGAGCGCCCGCAAGGGAGCGGCGGACGGGUGAGUAACGCGUGGGAACGUACCCUUUGCUUCGGAAUAGCCUCGGGAAACUGGGGGUAAUACCGAAUGUGCCCUUUGGGGGAAAGAUUUAUCGGCAAAGGAUCGGCCCGCGUUGGAUUAGGUAGUUGGUGGGGUAAUGGCCUACCAAGCCGACGAUCCAUAGCUGGUUUGAGAGGAUGAUCAGCCACACUGGGACUGAGACACGGCCCAGACUCCUACGGGAGGCAGCAGUGGGGAAUCUUAGACAAUGGGCGCAAGCCUGAUCUAGCCAUGCCGCGUGAGCGAUGAAGGCCUUAGGGUUGUAAAGCUCUUUCGUGGGGAAGAUAAUGACUGUACCCCAAGAAGAAGCCCCGGCUAACUCCGUG
rnacentral:rRNA from 1 species